rnacentral:rRNA from 1 species
CCUACGGGUGGCUGCAGUGGGGAAUAUUGGACAAUGGGCGAAAGCCUGAUCCAGCCAUGCCGCGUGUGUGAAGAAGGCCUUCGGGUUGUAAAGCACUUUCAGUGGGGAAGAAAGCCUUGGGGCUAAUACCCUCGAGGAAGGACAUCACCCACAGAAGAAGCACCGGCUAACUCCGUGCCAGCAGCCGCGGUAAUACGGAGGGUGCGAGCGUUAAUCGGAAUUACUGGGCGUAAAGCGCGCGUAGGCGGUCUGAUAAGCCGGUUGUGAAAGCCCCGGGCUCAACCUGGGAACGGCAUCCGGAACUGUCAGGCUAGAGUGCAGGAGAGGAAGGUAGAAUUCCCGGUGUAGCGGUGAAAUGCGUAGAGAUCGGGAGGAAUACCAGUGGGGAAGGCGGCCUUCUGGACUGACACUGACGCUGAGGUGCGAAAGCGUGGGUAGCAAACAGGAUUAGAUACCCUAGUAGUC